AGACUCCAGGAUCCCAACCGCUGGAAGCUAGAGGCUGGUGUCAUGGAGUACACGGGGAGCCAAUAUAUUGGGGAAUAUGUAGACGGGAGGAUGGAGGGCGAAGCCGAAUACCUCCUCCCUACCGAAACAAAGUAUGUUGGGGAAAUGAAGGACGGCAUGUUUCAUGGCCAAGGAACCCUGUACUUCUCCAACGGGAGCCGCUAUGAUGCCAUUUGGGAAAAGGGACUGGCCGUGAAGGGCACGUACACCUUCUCGGACGGGCUGCAGUACGAUGCCGAGCACUGGCAUUACUGCGACGGCUAUGACCGGAGGUUUUACACUGAGAUCUGCUAUGGCUUGAAGCCUGCAGGGAUCUCUCAAGUCACCAAUAUGGACCCGCCUAGAAAAAUCCCGGAAGGCUGUUACGAUUGUGGAGAUGGCUUCUAUGACCCGGUCACAAGGAUAAUCAAAGACUAUAGGAACCGCUUUUUGAGAAAUGCAGGUCCUCCCUUCAUCCCCGCUGGGAACCAGAAAUCCCAGGGUGUUCUGAGAGAGUCACUUAAGAACACUCUCUUGAAGGCAUGCAGUUAGGGAAUGAAGGCCCAUCAAAUGGUGAUCACGGCUCCUACUCCCUGGGUGCCAACCUGCUGCCUUUCAUCCUGGCUCUGCAGGAGGUCUCAUCAAACCCCCUGUACAGACAAGGAGCCCAGCUCAGAGAGGGAGAGUGGCUCGUCCAGGUCACCCAGCAAGUUGGCGACGGGGCUCAGCAGUGGACCCAACUCCUUCUGGCCUAUGCCGUGCUGUCACGUGCACCCUGAAGUCUCACCUCGCAAAGACAACUCGUGGCUUUCUUUUGGUUUUUGGCAUUUCCUGCGUACCAGGCACCGUGCUAAGCGCUUUGCAGGAACGAGCCCAAGUAAACCUCACAGGAAGUCUUCCAGCAGGCACUUUGUAGAGAAGGAAAUGAGACCCAGAGAGGUGUGAGGCCACCUGCCCGAGGUCACAGGGCUAGUGGCAGCCAAGCUCCAGUGCCCGGGCCCUUAACGGCCAUGCUGCCUCCUCCCCGCCAGCCAUCUGGGGGCUCCUAUUGCCCUCAUCUGUUGGGACAUCUUCAGGAUCUCUUCUCUCCCUGCACCGCGCUGACCAACGGAUUGCACUGAUGACACCCUCAGUGACCCGGGCCCUGCCUGUGGCACUGUGCGGGCCUGUGCCUCCCCGCCCUCACUGGGAGGCAGGCCCCAGGCCAGCCAGGGCUUUGAGCUUCCUCAGUGUGGUUGGUGCCCCGAUAUGAGCCCAGGCAACCCAUCCUUCCUGUGCGGUGGAGCUGCUCCAUCUGUGGCCUCAAGACAAGAAAGGAACCAGCAGCCUUGGCCUUGCACUUUGGCAUAUCUGCUUUGCCCACUCGGGAGCUCCGUUUGCUGAGGGUGGAGAAGAAAUUCUUCCCCCUUUGUCCAAAUCCCGCAGGAUGAUGAUGAGCACGAGUGGAUCAUCAAGACGUGUCGCAAGGGUUGGGACGAAAUCGUGGGUCACCGACCCA